rnacentral:rRNA from 1 species
UACGUAGGGUGCGAGCGUUAAUCGGAAUUACUGGGCGUAAAGCGUGCGCAGGCGGUUUUGUAAGACAGGCGUGAAAUCCCCGGGCUCAACCUGGGAAUUGCGCUUGUGACUGCAAGGCUAGAGUACGUCAGAAGGGGGGUAGAAUUCCACGUGUAGCAGUGAAAUGCGUAGAGAUGUGGAGGAACACCGAUGGCGAAGGCAGCCCCCUGGGUCAAGAUUGACGCUCAUGCACGAAAGCGUGGGGAGCAAACAGG